rnacentral:rRNA from 1 species
CAGCAGCCGCGGUAAAACAGAGGAUGCAAGCGUUAUCCGGAAUGAUUGGGCGUAAAGCGUCUGUAGGUGGCUUUUCAAGUCCGCCGUCAAAUCCCAGGGCUCAACCCUGGACAGGCGGUGGAAACUACCAAGCUGGAGUACGGUAGGGGCAGAGGGGGGUGGAAUUCCACGUGCAGCAGUGAAAUGCGUAGAGAUGUGGAGGAACACCGAUGGCGAAGGCAGCCCCCUGGGCCAAUACUGACGCUCAUGCACGAAAGCGUGGGGAGCAAACAGGAUUAGAUACCCGCGUAGUCCCUGUCUC